GUACAGUGGACACAGGAAAUGUAGCAGAACAACUACACAAAAAUGAGAAGAGCAGCCAAAAUGAAAAUGGGCAGCAGAACAAGAGCCUAUGUUCAUCUAUUAAUGCGGAUGACCAGAGGCCAGAAGGGGAAAAGGAGGAGGAAGAGAAAACCAAAAAGGAAAACCAUGAGAUGACAGCUGAACCUUGUAAUCCACCUUUGCAUAGCGAAGCUCCCAGUGAUCCUCUGGAUUCACAGUCUAACCUUGACAUCAGUGUCCCAUCUUCAAACCUGAAUAUGGAAUUAGAAAAUAAACAAACUGCAUUCUUCCCUCAAGAGGAAGAUGAUGAUGAUGAUGGUGAGCAGACAGACAAGAGCAGUGAGUCAGAACAAAACAUGCAGGA